ACUGUAAAUUUAAGUGAGAAAAUCGAGUGAGAGAUAAGAAAAAAUCUUUCGAGUGAGAUAUAGCAAAAUUGAAAAAAAAUUGGUUUGGGCCCAAAAAUGGUUGAGGGCCCAUUCGGCCAUUCCCCAAUCCCAACCAUCGCGUCCUACUCCAGCCGCCGCUGCCACCCACGUCCGUCGGCGCCAUGGCCGCCGCCAAGGAGCUCCUUCGCCGGCUCCAGCGACCAGCGUCCCUGCGCGGCUGCAGUUCAACUGUUUUUGGUGUCGUCCCCUCUGUCCUAUCUCUUUCUGCUUCUUCUCUUCAGCCUAAAAAAUUUGGUCAUUCCCUUUUGUCUGCUUUCCAAUCUGCAAAAGCACAUAAUUUUUUCUUCAUCUCCAUUUUUUCUUCUUCUCCAUUUAAUCUUUCUUCUAUGCUAUUGAAUCAUAACGGUACGUUUAAUUUAUCCAAUCACCUUUUUUUUCACACUUUGAUUUUCAUGUGCUAGAUGGAUAACUGAUGGUGGUAUGACUGAAUUUGAUUCUUCAGAAGGCCUUUAUUGGAUUUAUGGAUUGAAGCCAACUUUGUAUAGUUCAGUUUUCUAGCCCUUUUGCAUGAAAAAUAUAUUUGCAGCUGCUCAUUUCUACUGCCGGUUAGUAGAACUGAAUCUAAAUAUAUUCAGAUUUUUGCUCCUGGUGUGUUUCGUGCUCAUAUUAUUGGAUUGCCAAACCCUGCCAUAAAUUCAUGAAUUCAUGAAUUGUUGAGUCUCGGGAGAUCAAAAUUGCUCCGAGGAGGGAGAAAAGCGCGCGCGAAUGGCGCUCCUAAUGGGGGCGAAACCCACCGCCCCAUUAUACUCCUCCCUGCUCCAGUGCUGCAUCAGCUCCUGCGCAUUCCGGCAAGGCAAGUCCGUCCACGGCAGGGUCGCCGCCGCGUCCGCCUCUCCUCCGGACCUGCACCUGAGCACCAAGCUCGUCAUCUUCUACGCGCGGUUCGGCGACGUCGCCGCCGCCCGCAAGGUGUUCGAUGGAAUGCCGCACAGGAGCGUCGUGUCCUGGACGGCCAUGGUCUCCGGCUACGCCAGGAACGGGCGCCCGCGGGAGGCGCUGGAGCUGUUCGCGCUCAUGCGCGCGUCGGGCGCGCGGCCGAACCAGUUCACGUACGGGAGCGCGGCCAGCGCGUGCGCGGGGGCCGGGUGCGCCAGGAGCGGGGAGCAGGUGCACGCGUGCGCUGCCAAGGGGAGGUUUGCGGGCGACAUGUUCGUGCAGAGCGCCCUCAUGGACAUGCACCUGAGGUGCGGGUCCGUGGAGGAUGCGCGGCAGCUGUUCGCGGAGAUGGGGAAGAAGGAUGUGGUGUCCUGGAAUGCCCUGAUCAGGGGGUUUGUGGAACGCGGGCAUGACGGUGAUGCGCUUGGAUUAUUCUCUUCAAUGCUGAAAGAAGCGAUGAUUCCUGACCAUUACACGCUUGGAAGUGCUCUAAAAGCAUGUGGAAUAGUCGGUGUUGCUGUCAAUGUUGAGCUAAUUCACAGUUGCAUCAUCAAAUUGGGUUACUGGGAUGAAAAGGUUGUCAUCGGAUCACUUAUCAACUCUUACGCAAAAUGUCGGAGUAUGAGCAGCGCAAGAGUGAUAUAUGAUUCCAUCUCUGAACCAGAUCUCGUGUCAUCAACCGCACUGAUCAGUGGGUACACCAUGGAUAGAAACUACAGUGAAGAUGCAAUGGAGCUCUUCUGUAAAAUUCAUCGGAAGGGUUUAUGGAUUGAUGGUGUUCUAUUAAGCUCAGUGCUUUGCCUUUGUGCAAGCGUUGCUUCUGCAAGAUUUGGGACACAAAUUCAUGCAUAUAUGUGCAAGAAGCAGCCUAUGGGUGAUAUUGCAUUGGACAAUGCUCUGGUUGAUAUGUAUGCAAAGGCAGGAGAAUUUUCAGAUGCCAAGCGUGCUUUUGAUGAAAUGCCCUAUCGGAAUGUGAUUUCUUGGACGUCACUUAUUACUGCCUGUGGAAGAAACGGUUCUGGAGAAGAUGCUGUGACUCUUUUUAAUAGGAUGGUGGAAGAUGGUGUUAGGCCAAACGAUGUGACAUUCCUUUCUCUUCUAUCUGCAUGUGGUCAUUGUGGUUUGACAAACAAAGGGAUGGAGUACUUUACUUCCAUGAUGAGCAGGUAUGGUAUUGAUCCAAGAGCUGAGCAUUACAGCUCUGCUAUUGACCUUCUUGCUCGUGGAGGCCAGUUAGAAGAUGCAUGGAAACUUGUCCAGAAGACAAACUUAAAACCCAACUCAUCAAUGCUGGGUGCAAUGCUUGGAGCCUGUAAAUUGCAUGGAAACAUGCUUCUUGGAGAAACUGCAGCCAAGAACCUUUUUAGUAUAGAUCCUGGGAGUUCUGUAAACUAUGCUGUUCUUGCAAACAUGUAUGCAGAAUGUAGUCUAUGGGAGGAUGCACAGAGGACGAGAGAAGUAAUAGAUGAAACAACAGAUGGAAAGGAAGUUGGUUUCAGUGUCAUCUGAAUAUGACAGAAACUUUUCCACUGCAAGAAAUUUGUAUCACAGUUUUUAGCCACUGAUAGAUGCAUCAGAUGAACCUCAAAUUCUGGGCCACUUUGACAAGCCGCAACACACUUCAGAGUUCAGACUCCAGAGUUAACCAAUUUCUGCCUGUUCAGUUAAACAGUGAAUAGCUCAUGACCUAUUGACCUAUCACAAAUUCACCUGCCAUCAUGUUCGUUCAGUCGGAAGGUUAUCUUGAGCCCAGCAGUUAUUUAUUAACUUAAAGGCUGCAACUAAUAUCUGACCAAUGGACCGAUUUUCUCAGUAUGAUAGGGAUUCACUGAAGGUUUACUUACACAAACUCUUGCAUUUUUUAUUCAAACAUAGAGAAUCUUUUUCCAUAACUUGCACAUCAUGUUCUCAUCUUUCUUAGAGUGUUUAUAUGCUUGAUCAAACCUAAAUUUUGCUUCAAAAUGAAGUAUCUGCACAUUGCCUGAGAUGCUUCUGCACCCGUUUGGCAUUCAAUAAUUAGCUAGCAGUGAUCAUGUUGAUUCUCUUCUAACUUUUCUCCCUUGAUUUGCUUCAUUGACACGAGCACAACUGUCAUGCAACCUUUUUUUUUCUCAACUUAAUUUCAAAGGAAGAAGAUUGAUUUCAUCAAACAAUGGGUUGUUGCUUUGAUAUUAUUUACUUUAACUGACUGGUGCCAGUUAAGAAAUUAUUAUGGGCAGUUCCUUUAGUGUUCAGAUGCAAUCCCAAGAGAAACUAGCAGUGAUAAUGUCAUAGCGAGGCAACCAUAUUAUAUUCCCUGGUUCCCUUAAAUACUAACAAAACAGGAAAUGGAUUGUUUUUCUUUCUUUUCCACUUUGCAUGAACAUACACAAUUUCCUCUGGAACAAACGACAACGGAUAAACUGAUAUAUUAUCUCAUAUCUUUGAAUCCUUCUGAACUUCUUUACCAGAAUAAAUUCAACCCAUAUAAUAUUUAAAAUAAAAAAUUAGAACAGCUAGAGAGUAUUACCUUUUAGCAACAUGUCGUGACCUAUUCAUCAAUACAAGAGCCUGUAUUACUCACAAGUGCACAAGCCACGAAGGAUGACCACCACCAACUAAUUAUGCAAUAUUACCAGGUAAUACUAUCUAGAUGCCUGAUCCAAGACUUGCGUAUUCUUCAAUUGAAGUACAUGCACACAACUCAUAGGGCUUGUAAAAUCUCGAUCUCCAAGUCUUAGACCAUCUGCUUGUUGCAUUAGGAAAAAUAAAAUGAAGCUGUGGGAAAUGGUUUAUGUCACUUGUUUACUAUAGUACAACCUAAGCAACUGAGCUAUAAAGCAGGCUGCAAGUUAUAAUUUGCCUCAACAAUCAUAGAAGGCAACUCUUUCAUCAUAGGCAG